rnacentral:rRNA from 1 species
UACAGAGGUCUCAACCGUUGUUCGGAUUCAUUGGGCGUAAAGGGUGCGUAGGCGGUCGUGCAAGUCGGAUGUGAAAUCUCAGGGCUCAACCCUGAAACUGCAUUCGAUACUGCGCGGCUAGAGUGCUGGAGGGGAGACUGGAAUUUACGGUGUAGCAGUGAAAUGCGUAGAUAUCGUAAGGAAGACCAGUGGCGAAGGCGAGUCUCUGGACAGCAACUGACGCUGAGGCACGAAAGCGUGGGGAGCAAAAGGG